ACCAUCUGUGUGGUCAUCCUUUGCUCUGACUGCCUACAACUGCAUAAAUACUGCCGAGUGUGUGGAAAAGAGGAGAUGAACUCUGAGAAGAAGGUUCUGGGGGAUCCGUUUCAAAGUUGUAGCUCAAAAGAUACACAACAGGAACAUCAGACUCAAGAGCAGCAUUCACGACAAGAGGACAGCAAAGAACAUAAGGGCAUCCAAGGCACUAUGACAUGUGUGGAGAUGACUUUGAGUCUUCCAGGCUAUAACAAAUACACAACGGCCAAGAUCACAUACUGCAUAUCUGAUGGCAUACAAGGGGACAAGGAUCCCUGUCCUGGGUCACCAUUCGAGGGUGGUCAAUUUGUGGCUUAUCUGCCACUCAACCCAAAGGGACGGAGUUUAUUGCCUUGCCUGGAAAAGGCAUUUAUUCAAGGCCUAACAUUUAACUAUUAGCUCAGGCAAGAAGGCUGGUGGUGAUGCAAAAGUAACCCUGGGGCAGGAUCCCCCACAAGACCAGGGUGGAUGGAGGAAAGAGUGGUGGAUAUCCAGACUCGACAUACCUUAC